CAAAAACCAGGUGAGCAGUGGGUAUAUAGUAGGUUGAGCGUCAGUGUUGGCAAUGGGUCUAGGUGGCUGAGGGGAAGGAGGUUGGGAGUCUAGGGAGGAAGUGGAGAGGUCCUCCCAGAAGGGUAUAAUCUGCUCAGGGUUACCCGGGGAUGUGGGGUUGGUGUUUGAGGAAGGUUGAGGAAAAGCAAGGCUUGAGAGAGGCACGGGAGAACAGCUUGUUCUCCCUAAUGCUACACCCAAUGCUUGCUAUGCUCCAGGGGCAGGCCUGGGGUGUGCUAUGCCUGUCACACUUUGCAAAGACACAAAAGCCACCUUGGAGUCAUCUUAGCUUUCCAUACCGCAGAGGAUGAAGUUGUUGAGCAGAAAUGGCCCUGCUGCUCUAGGCUUCACUGCCUACACAAGGCAAAUAAUACCCUGAGAGGCCAAUUUGGAUGCAGCAAGUUACAAUAUUUAUCUAGUUCUUCAUCUAUGAAAUAAGUACGUGUCUGCUCCAGGCAUUGUCCCCAAGGAGUUUCUGUGCAGCCCUGGAUUCACCUUGAUAAGAUCAGAAUUGAAGAUGCUAUUAGUGAAGAGGUCCUAGUAUACACGAAUGAUGCCCUGGGAACUUCUCCAUGGACCUGUAUCCACUGCCAAGGCAUCCAUCCAAGGCGUACAGCAGAUCUCCUAUCAGUCCUAGGGUACUUAUUUCCACUGCUGACUCCAUUAGACUAAACUAUACCAGUUUCUUGGGUCCUGGAACACUUUCCAGUCCAGAGCAAACAAUGACAGCAUGUAACUAGAGUUCAAGUGGUUCCCAUCUUGUGUCUCCAUUCAGGCAGUUGUGACUUUUGCUGUCCUCCCAGGGCUGCCUGUGAAGGGUUGGGUUUCUGGUGGUCCUUGAUUCAUUGAUGUCUUCCUACACUGCUGGAAGAUCAUGAGGGCUGAGUCUUUCUUCUUCAGGAAUUAUCAAGGAAAUACUUCUAUAUGUUGAUGACUUUCCCCACAGACUUAUUCCUGAGAUGCUCACAGAGUGACUAUUGGAGCUGCUGGGACAGCUGAGAAGGGCAAAUCACAGCACCAAGAUGGAGACAGCUUCCAGGUCUGGAUUCACAGCCAACACUAGCUUCCCCUCUUACAUUAUAGUCUCCUCAUUAGCAAGAUUCUAAUUUUGCUAAUCUGGAAGAGUCAUUCCAGCUUCUCAGAGUUUAUAAAAUUUAGUGCCAAACAUUGAGUGUACUAUUUGACUAUUAAAAAUAAGUUAUGAAUGGUGGUUCAUGCCUGUAAUCAUAGCAUUUGGAAAUCUGAGGCAGGAGAACUGCUGUUAAUCCGGCCAGACUGGUCUACACAGUGAAUUCCAGCUCACUGGGAUUUCAGAGUCAAACCAUGUCUUAAACAAGUUUGUUGCUUCUGUAUCAUGGAAUUUUAGAGUUACCAUUCAAAGUGAGUUACAUGUUGUUUAGACAUUUGUUUUUGUUGGCUAUAUUUUGCAUGUAUAUUAUGUAUUUUAUAGGUGUGUGUGUGUGUGUGUGUGUGUGUGUGUGUGUGUGUGUGUGCAUUUCUUGUUUUAUUGUUAUUGUUCUGGUUCUCUCCUGAGGUAUCAACAGAGUCACCAAAGGGUCCAAUCUCAACACCACGUUAGUUCUACCCCUCUACAAUCCCUUUGGGUACAGGUAUUUUCGUGUUAAUAAUACCCCAAGCUUGAUCUGAUUUGAUGUUUAUUUCUGUCUCUCUGUCUUUUCUUUUGCCUGUACACAUAAAAACAGAUAAACACAUAUAAAUACACACACACACACACACACACACACACGGAGGGAGAGAGAGAGAGAGAGAGAGAGAGAGAGAGAGAGAGAGAGAGAGAGAAUUUCCUCAUUAAAUUUCUCUGUGCAAUUCCAUCUUCUCAGACCUGCCUUGCUUCCCUUGAGGAGGUUAGAGUUAUCAUUCUAAAACCUGUACCAUGACAUUUCCUCAAUCGAAAGCCUUUAUUAUGUCACUACUAUUUCCAGGAUAAGUUGAAGUUGGAAAGUUGGGGAGUGGGUCAUUCUUUUUUUAGGUUGUAUUUUUAUUUUUGCCUUCACAUGGGAUACUCCCAUCUCUCUUUCUUCUUCUUCUUCUUCUUCUUCUUCUUCUUCUUCUUCUUCUUCUUCUUCUUCUUCUUCUUCUUCUUCUUCUUCUUCUCUCUCUCUCUCUCUCUCUCUCUCUCUCUCUCUCCCCCUACUUCACAGAAUGUUGCACACCUCCAGUCCUUUACAUAAACAUCUAUUUCAGCAUCAAGUGCUUCUUCAUCCCUUGAUAUUAUAGUAAACCACAAAGUAAACUUCAUCCCUUUGCUGUGUGAAAACAAAAGCUAAAUCAUGGUAUGUAACGCCGUGUAUUAGAGUUUAACUUUUGUGUUAUUAGGCUUUGUUGUCAUGGUAACUGGACAGUGAGCUGCCAGACUUGGGUUGCACUAGAGAUAGAAAUGUAUAAUUCAGCAAAUAAGCAAUAUCACUAUGACAGGAGGCUGAACACUUAUUAACAGGUCACCAAGCUAAGGUAAUUGGGUCAUUCCAAGAGGUCACAGGGAUAGUGAGAACUGGGAAUCCAAUUCUUUCCUAUAAAGGCCUAAAGGGUAGAUUGGAACUUUACCAUGAGAGAAGUUUUGGGUAUUCUUAGAUGUUCCACUAUCCCAGUUGAACUCCAAGUACACUUUUUGGUAUAGAACCAUAUCUUUUGAACCCCCAAACCUACAGACCCAAAGAGACUUCAUACAGUUUUUCUUUUAAGAAAAUCAGGUGAAAUGAAUAACCUGUCUCCUCUCUUGAGUUAUAUUAGUAAGAGAAUAUGAUUGGUGGGUUAUACUGAUGUCAUAACAGUUCACAGCAUGGAAAACCUUUUUUUUGUACUCAGAAGUAGGUAGGAAGAUUCUGAGGAGACUUCUAGGGAGGUAGUUGGAUGAUCUUUGUGGGUCACAUAAUGGAAAAGAAUGGGAAAGGAUUGCCGAGCUGCAGACACUAUGAAGAGGAGACUAAGUCUUGGAUGGGGGCAGCAAGAACAUGAGGUAGUUGAGGACCCUGAGGCAUUGAGUCUAGCCUAAGAUCCAGUGAAGCCCAUGACACACAGGAGGACCAAUGAUUGCUUUGCUGAUGAGCACCACUGGGAAGUUCAUAAAAUACGAUUUUCUGAAUGAGUGCUCUAUGGCUCUGAACACAUAGCAGGAAUUUAUAAAAUGACUCCUCCGGGAGGUCCUUUCCUACUUAGUUGAUACUCAGUGCCUGAUGCUCAGCUAGGAGGUCAGCGGUACCUAUUGACAGACAUGCUCUCUUUUGUUCCCUGAGGCCUUUUUGUAAGGCUUCUGAGGAGGCUGUUUUCCUUCUUUUUCUGACUUUAGCACUCUCUCACCUCUACCUCCCCAAUCCCAGCCUUUUCUAAGGCCUCUAUUUUUUUGUCCCUUCUUCCUAUACCUCGGAGAGCCUUGAUUAGAGCUAAACCCACAGAGUGAGCCCCUCAGCAGCUGUCUCGCUCUACUCCUCCCCGAAAGAGGCAUCUGGUUCUCGUUCUCCCCUUGAUGCAUUGGUCUCCACUUUCACCUUGCUCUGUUUAUGUAUAUAUUAUGUCUGUUUGAAACCCUGAGCUCCUAACUGGCUUUGCACCCCUCUCCAAGUAAAGUAACAUCCAAAGGAAGUCAAGAGAGAGCUAGACAGAUUGAGAAGAGUUAGGGUAAGCUUCAAUCCCCAACAUCCCAUCUGAAGGAGGUAUUACCAACCUUUCCUCAUGGACAAUUUGUGUGGAGUCUAAUGGCCAGAAAAAGGAAAUUCAAAAUUCUAUGUGGGUUAGGUGAAGUCUCUUUUUAAAAAAUAAAUUCAUCUAUUUAUGUCCAUGAGUGAUUUAUUUGCAUGUACACCUGCAUGCCAGAAGAGGGCAUCAGAUCCUGUUAUCAGAUCCUGGUUGUUGGGAACUGAACUCACAACCUCUGGAAGAGUAGCCAGUGUAACCACUGAGCCACCUCUCCAGCCCUAGUGAAGUCUUUUGACAAGGGCGUCCACAGCUGCUAUGAUAUUCUCAAUGGGAUCUGUAGCUGUGAUGAAAAGGAACUGAGAUCACCUCAAUAAUCUUUGUAUGUGUAGGAACCCCACACUUUGGGGGUGUUGUGUACUUGCUGAUGUCACUGAGUAGUGCUGGUCAGAAUAAAACCAAUCGGCAGGAGUGUUGUGUAUAGUCACACGCUGCAUCUCCCGACAUGGAAGACCAAUCUUCCUCUUUCAGCUAUUGGAAGGAGGAGCCAUGGAAACUAGGCUGACCGGAAUGUGAGUUCCACAGACUGCCACCCCAGGACCCUAAAGUGAAAGUUUGGAAGCUGUUAGUCACUAACAUCCAGAAUGGUGAAAGGAGAUUCAGUGUGACUUGGGGGAGCCUCUGUGCUGAUCCAGUUUGACCAAACAAAUUCAGUGUGUUCAUCUACCUUUAGACUGUCCCUCAAUCUGGAUGCUCCAUCAGGACUGGCCUUUAUUUUUCUCUACUCAUCAAAGCCCAGAUCUGGAGGUAGUCACAGAAAUGUCCUCUCUAUUUAGAGAACUGUUAGCUCUUUUAUUCUAUAGGAAUCUUCUAUUAGAAUCUCAACCCAUCUUCCCAGAGUCUGUCUUUGAAUCCUCUUGUGUACUAUUCCACAGCAAGACAUGAACUGGUCGUUCAGAAAAUGUCUUGGGAUAAAUGAAUAAAUGAUCAGAUGACCUUGAGGAUAUCUCAGACUUCUUAGAUACUUACCAUCUUUCCCACUUUUUAUGCCAACAGAACCCCAAAUAUCCUUAGCUCUCUAAAGUUGAUUUCUAACACAACAGGCUGGGAUGUUUUCCUGGAAUUCUUCUAGAUCUCUUAAGAGAGAGGAAAUGGGAAAAAACCCAUUUACUUAAUUCUAAUUUGUCAAAAAUGUUAUUUGCAUACUACCGCCUGAAGAGAAAACUGAAGUGAGCUGAUUCUGAUCAGAGGGUUCAAAAGUCUCUUAACAUAGCAGCUGCUAUUCAAACUGCCGUCUUUCCAGACUGGGGUCAUCUUGUCAACUCUAGUUGUUUUUGGGGCCACUAUCAGAGGCAUUUACUGUUGAUUCUCAAACUGGGGCAGACCCGGGUACUUUGUUUUUGUCACAAUGGUCAUCUUACCUUACCGUGUCUCUGAUAUUGUGAUUCUUUUCCUGGCGUGUUUCCUGUAGCCAACCCCACCUGUUCUUUUUAAAAGCCAUCAGUUGCCUUUAAUAUUACCAAGGGAUUAUUUUGAGAUUCUCCUGGUGUGCUUUUUUUUCCCUAAUUCAUGAGUUGGAGACAAGUUGGAGGUGAAUGGAAGAAAAAAAUAGUAAUAACUUCCAGUAAAGGCUUAUACUUUGGAUUUUUUUUUGGAAAACUUUGAAGUGUUUAUGAAAAGCAUUUAGAUCAUAAAACAUUGAAAUCAAGGGAAGGUUUCUUGAAAUUAAUCUGGAGUCCUUUACAAAACUACUUCAGAAAAGUCAUGUACUAUCAAGAUCUAACAAUUUCUCUUGGCAGAGAAAUUCCCAAGAAAGUCACAAACAAGACAAAUAUAUGGCUUCAAGAAAAGGAUGAGAUACACCACUUAGAUAUACUCUGAUACAGGGCUAAGUUCAGGUCCUGGGCUCCCACGGUUCUGGAGCACAGUUUUAUUAUUUAACUGUUUGUUCCUUGACUUGUUAAUUCUGUGCCCCUCAGUUUUUCUCAGCUCUAAAAUGGGGACAGUGACAGUCUCCACCUCCUAAGGUUUGAUGACUGAAAUGGUUGUAGAAGAGUGAACCUACUUGUUAUGGCCUCCAAAAGGCAGUUUUAAAAAUCUCCGAGAGCAGCAUACAUAUGAAGAAGAGGCUCAGAGACUUAUAGACCUGGCUUUGGGUAACUAAAAUAUUUUACAUAAACCUGACUUUCUAUUCAGCCAGUGAGUCUUGUUACAUCAUCCACCACCAUGAUGUUUAAACCUGAAAUUAGAGGGGUUUGAAGCUUGAAAAACCAAUUGCAAAAUGAUUCGGCAUCCGGCACAAGUCCACAGGGUAGGUGUGCCAUCUUCGAGACAGUGGUGGUCUUAUCUUUCAGAGUAUUGGGCAGGACAUCCCCUAGAGCCUUCUAUUCCAGAGUCAGCCUCAGAUGGGAUACAGUAGCCGCAACGACCUCCUCUUUUUACUUUCUUCAGUAACCAAACUCAAGUAGGUUCAGAGGAGGAAUCUAAAGCCACCUCUGCUUGGUGGCCUUCACAGAAGCGGGUGGCACUCUACAUUUUCUUUCACAGCAGGGAAGGUUUUAACCUUUCAUCACCAAAAGCCACAGCUGAAGCCUGAAGAAUGUGGUGAAGUUAAUUCUGUGGGCCUCGGUUCACAACAUCUAGCAUCCUGCUUUAUAAACUAAUCACAUUGGUUUUCCCCACUCUGGUGGCUGACAACUUCCCCUCUACCAGGGGAGGCCGCAAAAGCUGCUGAUGUGAGAACAUAAACAUCUCUGACAGGUGGAAGUCUUUGCAGGUCACAGCCCUGGCAGCCAGAUGGGACCGGUGAUGUCAGCUAGGUGGCUAGCUGUCAGACGAAUGAGCUGGGCUCAGCCCUUUGCCGCGUCUAGCCACCUCAGGGAUUUGUUCUCAUUCAUUUAUGAGAGAGGACUCACAUCUGCUAAAAUGAGGCUGGCAGGCUGAAACCUAGAACUUUGGAGGUGAAAACCCAAAAGGAUGAGGGUGCCAGCCUCCAGCCUCUAGUAGUUGUGCAGCCUUGAGCGGAAUAGUUCCAGAUUCCAUUACCUGCAAAAUCCGGUUCUAAUGUGGGGGUGUGAUUCAGUGAUUCAGUUCUCUCUCUCUUCUGCUCCCUCUGUCUCUUUCUCUGUCCCUAUCUCUCUGUCUCUGUCUGUCUCUGUCUCUUUGUCUCUGUUUCUGUCUCUGCCUCUCUCUCUCACACACACACACACGCACACACACACACACACACACACACACACACACACACAUGCACCAUUUUCACUGAAUGUAUGGAUGCAUUGGGAGAUAUAGAAAAGAACACUAUAAAAUCCAACUGACUCUUCCUUGUUCGUUUUUCAAGACAGGGUUUCUCUGUGUAGCCCUGGCUGUCCUUGCACUCUGUCAACCAGACUGGCCUUGAGCUCAGAGAUCCACCUCUCUCUGUCUCAUGAGUCCUGAGAUUGAAGGUGUGUUCUCCAGCCUUUUUAUGUCUUUAAUCUUGUGCUGGUCUACUUUGAUGGGUGAACUGAGGGCAUCUUAGUCCUCACUCUAGCACAUACAUUGUGCAGAAACCUGGCAAGCACGUAACUCUUAGUUUACAUUGUAAAAUUAGUGGAUUCAGACAGAACUGAUACUGUCACUCUGAGGUCCUAGCCUCAGAACAUCUCUGUCCUUUGUCCUCAGUUGAGAACAUCUUUGUCCUCAGUUUACUUAUUUUGAGAUUCUUGUGCAGCAUCAAUUCUAUCCCAUUUCUAUUUCAUCCGUGUGUCUUUUCUCUUUCAUAACUUGUGAUGAAACCCUGUCGAGGUAGGAGCACUCACUUGUCAGCGUUCCUACUCCCAGAGGAGAUGCCCUUAGCUUGAAUGAUGAAGCAAAUGUGUGGAUUUGCUUGAAUUCUGCACCAAUGUUAAAAAAUGUUACUUAAGGAGGAUGGGGAGAUGGAUCACCAGAUAAAAAGACUUGCUUCCCAGCCUGGAGACCUGAGCUCAAUCUGUAGAACCCACACAUGGAAGGCAGGAGUGAAUGUUGCAAGUUGUUCUCUGACCUCCACACUAGGGCGGGCACACAAACACAUAUAUGUGCAACAAUCAAUAAAUGCAAAAAUUUUUAAAUGUUAAUUUUUGUUAUUGUAGAGGAAAUAACAUUCUAUGCCAGGAAACUUAGACACUAAUAUAAUCAAUGUGCUAUGAAAGUUUAAAAAAAAAAUCAGACCCUCACGAGAGAAUUUUUAAUUUUUUUUUUAUUUAACAAGAUAAAAAGAAAGAGAAGAAAUGGUAUAGCUUCUAAGCAGCAUUCCUUCACGGUACUGGAGUUUACUAAAUAAUUCUGCUCUCUCCUUUGCCAGGGAUGCAGAGGUUGGAAGGGUGAUGACCUGUGUGCUUUAGUGCCCCUCAUGCAUGCAACUCCGUAUUGGAGUUAGUAAAACUCAAGUCAAGGGUCAAUGGAUAUCACUGAUGUCUGACAAAGGAAAUACUAACAGUUACAUUUUUUCUAUGGUGAGAUAAACUUUAAAAUGUAUACUGAUUAUUUUGUUACUCUUCUGUAAAGAUUAAAGGGUGACAUGGUUUUUAAAAAUUCCCCAAAGGUAUGAUAAUAUUUUGGAGAAAGGGACGAAGCACACUAUGAAGAAGCUGAGAAACUAAGGGAGAGACUUCCUAUAACCUCGAGUGCCUGUGAGGUACCAGAGGAUCGCUACGUCCUCACAUCUUCUGACCUCUUGAGCAAGUUUCAAUGUAUUUAUUUUUGCUAACAUAGAGUAAAUACUUACCCAUGCCCAGUGCGUCCUAAAGUCAGACAGACUUCAGUGCACUUUGUUUAUAACUCGAUUGUUGUUUGGAUGAGGAACACAGUGGCUGGGAGAAGGGGGUUUAGCAUCCCAGAACUGACAUAGAGUAAAGUGAAGGAGAUCUGGAAUUAGAAGGCACUCUCUCUUCCUUUCUUCAGUAGAGCUGUAGAAGGAAGGCUUCAGAGGGAGGUAUCACGCAGUUGAUUUCACGAUCAGGAAACCGAGCUCCCAGAGGUUAAGUGAUACUCAGGAUUUUUUUCAAGCGGCUAUUAGAGCAUUAAAUUCAUCAAAUCUUUUCAUUUUUAGCUGCAAUGCUCUCUCCAUCAUCUGGGCCUCAUUUUUUUUUCCAAACUAAACAUUCUUAGCCAUCAACAUUAGGUUUUGGGUUCCUGGUUGAUGCUGGCACUUGUUCUCAGCACUUACAUUGUCUUUGAUGUCCGCUAGACUCUUAGGCCAGUGAACCUUCCGCAGUUCUGCAGAUGCAACCAGCUUCGGAGGUCAAGACAGGUUGGUGCCAGGUGAGAGGCUUAGGGACCCACCGGUUCUAGAAGUGCCAGGCAGCCGAUGUGUGAGAAGGUUCCAGCUGUUGUCCCCUUUCAAUGUCACCCCUGUCACUUAUAGUUAGAAAUGGAGGCGAGAAGGUGCUAGCAGCAAUCCAGCAGCUAUGUUUUCUUAGGCGAAUCGUUUGUGCCAAUCAGAGAGCGUGGGCACAGCGCAUGUGCUAAGCCUCGGAGAGUGCUUGCUCUCGCGUCUUCACUUUCAACACCAGCUUCUUGGUUUUUAGCAAAGGCUUCGAAGUGUUGCUCAGGUUUCACCCUUUCAACAUCUGAAUGUCAUUCCUUUGGCCAACGGAUUCUUUUUCUCCCUUUUUUCACUGGGUGACGACAGGAGAAACUGCUAGUUUUUUUUUUUUUUCUCCUUGAAGUUGAUUUAAUGGUCCACUUGUAAGAAGCCACAUAACAACCACUCUGUUCUGUAGAUUUGGAAUUUAUUUGGUUCACCUUCUCAGAUGCCUUAUUGAAAUUGUCUUCAGAAUGUGUCUAAAAUUGCGUGCUCUACCAAUGGCAUCAGACCUGGAAUUUCCAUCCAGGUAUUUAUUUAAUUGUCUCUUCUAAUUCUUUCUCCUGACACUCAACUUGAAGUUUACUUUUGCCAUUUUGUUGGAACCCUACUCCACUCCUGCCCCAAACAUUUAACUCCCUUCAGCUCAAUCCAAGACCAACCCAGAAGUUCCCAGUUUGGCUCUAAAUCAGUGCCAGACUGUAUGAUAUGUUAGUAAUGGCUUAUACUUCAGGAGAGAAAUUUUCCUGAGUGCCUUCAGAGAUGCAGAGAGAGAAGUGGCAGAGAGGUCAUGAUCAGGCACUAGUAAUUGUUUCUGCAAAUAGGUGGGAAAGAUGUGGAGGAGAGAUGAGAAAUCAGUUGUGAGAGUACAAAAUAAACAUUUGAAGUGUGGUAGAUAGUCUCGGUCUUUCUAGAUUUCAGCUGAAGUCCGCACAUUUGAACUCCAUCCCAAAAAAGCACGAAGCAGUCGGUGUCAUUCAAUAGGAGGGGCAGUCCACUGGCAAGGGAUGUUUCUUGGGGCCUUUCUCCAGAGUCCUGACUGACUUUGCAAAGGAGUGCAUCUCUAUUCCUGAAAAAGUCCAAGCUCCAUCUAUUAAAUGUGUGGAGGACAUAUUAAGAAGAUAUAGACCGUGGGCAAGAUUUUACAUUUCUUCCUGCCAGAUUCUAUGCUGUAUAAUCUAGCAUUUUAAGUUUAAUUUGUUGGAGACGAGGUCUUAUAUAGCCAAAGUUAGACUCAAACUAGUCAUGUAGCUGAGGAUGACUUUGAACUCUCAAUCCUCCCGAGUUCUCUUCUGUCUGCCUGGAUUAUAAAUGUGCAGCAUUAGACCAUCAUGCUCGGUUUUACACAGUGCCAGGGAUUGAACCCACAGAUUUGUGAAUGUUAGGCAAGCCAUUCUAUCAACUGAAAUACAUCCCCAACUUCACAGCAUAGCAUUUCAUGAUGAAUUUGAGUGUCUCAUCUCUCCUCUGUAUGCCAGUUUUUUCCUUUGUAAAGUCAAUGAUAUAGAAUAUAUAUGCCUUUGUGGAUUUUGUUCUAUUUUACUAUAACCAUAGUAAAAUAAUUUACAAUAGCAUUACGCAGAGGUUUUGGAACCAUAAGUAGACAGCAUCUUAGAAGUAAUCUUGUCUGCUUUCCUGGCUCGGUUAGCCUUUGCUUAAAAAUAAUGUUAUUUCUCAAAAUUCUGUGGGUUGGCUCAACAGUAUCUCUUUUGCUUUCCUUGGCCUUGGUCACGUCAUUUCUUUCAGCUGGAGGGGCAGCAGGCUGGAAAGACCCAGGAUGGCCUCACUCACAGCUUCAGAAGCGCAUGUUGGCUCUUGGUUGGGGGCCCUUGUUCUUUUCCAUAUGCCCUUUCAUCUUCAAAUAGGUUGGGCCAGCUUCCUUAUACAGCAGACUCAGUGUCGCAUCCAGAGAGGAGGAAACAGCAAGGCUUCUUUAGACCUAGUAUCAGAAUUCACCAAAGUUAUCUCUGAUGCAGUCUAUUGGGCAAAGCCAAUUAUGAAGUUGCCUACGUACAGAAGAAUAGGAAGUGGACUCUGGAUCUGGGUGGAAGACUGGGGCCAUUUGAGAAGAAAACUGUGGCAGAAAUCUUUAUAGGGAAUCUCACAUCCUUGCUAGAUGGUUAAACUGACCUCACAGUGAGAGCUCAGCUAUCUGAGCUCUGGGUCCACGCUAGCUAUAACACACUGUUCCAGGGGGCCUGGAACAUUAGUACAUACCAAUUGUCAUUAAUACAUUUCAUCAUUAAUAAAGAUGAAAAUCAUUAUUAAUCAAGUAUAAUAUUUACCAUACUUUGUAUCCUGGGAAUUGCUGGGCAUUUCCGUCAAAGAUGAAUAAUGAGAGACUACCCUUUCCUUCAAGUACUCUAUGAUCUGUAUUCAAUGAAGCAUUCAAAGCAGGCCAAAUAAGCAAGUUGAACAGGGCUCCACCUUACCAUUGUAUUUCAUAUAAGAAUAUGUGACUUAGGUGGAAACGAAGCCCCCUUUUACCUUGCAUUCAAUAGGUAUCAUUAUUUAUCUUUUCCAGAACAAAUGAGGUUCUUUCCCACUUUCUACACUGUCCAUGGUAAGUUUAAUACAUGAAGGAAGACAAUGUCUAAAUUAUCGUAAAUCCCUCUGCGUUCUGUUUCAGCACAGAGGCCCCUGGGAGGCCCCAUGGAUCUGCAGUGUUGUACUUACUGGAUUACUGCUUUUGUCCUUUAAUGGGGUGCACCUCAGGGUCGAGUUUUAUUAUAUGCAUCUUAAAAAUGUAGAGCUGAAGUUUCAGAGAGGGAGGUUGAGAGGUGGCCUGAGUCAGGGUGGGACAUUAACCCCACGACCUCUGAAACUGAUGGCUUCUCAGGCACUACUGCCUUACAGAGGGGAGGCCAUUUGGCACCGGGAGGGAGGCAAGAUGACUCCCUGGUGUUUCGUUUUAAGCUUUGAAAGGUUAAACUUAGGCUUGCCUUUGCCCUCUAACCCACUAAGGUCACUCCACAGCAGAGACCACCUUUAGGAUCCUCUACCUCCUCUUCUGUGACCUUAGCUCUUACCAUCAGGUACUGAUGUUCAUUGGUUGUCAUGAACGAGUUCUCCAGUCAGCUGCCAACCAGUGGCACUUCAGUGUGAAUGUUUGUUAGUGGAUAAGCCUUUUUUAUUUUUUUUCAAGAAAAAGCAAUGCUUUAACCAUAAGGAUUUUCCUGACCGCUCUGAGCUGACAUUUAAUGUCUUUUGUACUUUGUAUCUGUUUGGAGUCUGUGAUUUUUUUACAGUACAGUUUUUAAAAGGGCAACGAUCAAUAAAAACUCUGCUGAUGUUAUUUAUUUGCUGGUGGACAAAAACCAAAACAAACCCAAAACUGAUUCCCAGAAGUGGUACAUUGCUAUGCUACACAAUUAGUAGCAGAGCCGGAAUUCAAAUUGCAAUCAACUGGUCUUUAGAUAACCAAGUUUGGCCCCUGUCAUUCAUUCGCAUUCUGAGAAAUCUGUCUACCCAAAGGUUUUCACUACAGAAACCCCUACAGCUACUUUAAAAUGAAGAGGCAAUUUUUGAUAGGCUGAGGAUGGCUGAGGAACUGUAAGGAAACACUGGGUCAUUGCUCCAUUGGCUGUUUGGGAUGCGACACGUGGAAGUGACCCUGAGAAAACACUGCUUGGACAGAUACUUAGAGACUUAGGUUUGCACUUCCAGAAGAAAGUGUGCAGUGUGCUAUUGGCUACUCUUCCUGUUCCCCCUUUUAAAAGAAACACUGAGAAUUGGUUAAUCUCUGAGCACACCUGAAGCUGGUUUAGAACUAGAACUUAGAAAGACAUGAUCUUGAUGCAGCAAUCAGAGUGAGCCUAGACCUAGAGGCAUGAAAGGUGGUGACACGAUUUUUCAGGAACAUCAAAUAGGCCACCCUGGCUAAGGAUGACUUAUGUUGGCAAGGUUUAAUAAAAUAGGGAUAAUAGUUAUUUUCUUGACAUGAAAAAAAAUGCUCAUCAGGAUCAAGAAAAGAAUGUUCCUUCAUAAGUAACUAUUGCUUAGGAGUUCCAGAAAAUAGCAUUGACUUUUAAUAUCUCUUGGGCUUGGAGUAUUUUACAACAGUGAAUUAGAGCAGCUCUGGUUACUGCAUAUAAAUGUCAGAGUGCUUAUGAUAGCAUUCCCAAGACCGGUAAAAGACCGAGCCAGGUGAAACCCCAGCACAAACGAGGAAGACAGGUCAUGAACAGUUCAACCCUACCUGGAGAGCUAUUGGCAACUAAUGGCUGCUGAGAGAAUAAGAGUCAGUCUUUAUCAUAGAUACAGCCUGUGGAAAGGUACCUAUGAUCUAGUAAAUGGCCCUAAAUCCAUUAUAUACUGCAUAAAUAGACUCAAUAGGUUUAGAAACAAACAAACAAACAAACAAACAAACAUGAAAUUGGGAAGGGAAUAAUGUAUGUGUAUUUGGGGAGUUGAGGGGAGAGAAUGGGGACAAACUUGAUCCAAAAACAUUAUAUCAUAUGUGAUUCUCAAACAAAAACAAAAAAGUUUUUUGCUUGCUUGCUUGUUUGUUUGUUUGCUUGUUUGUUUUUAACCAAAAGAAGCAAGUGAUUAGUGGCAGAAUCUCAAGCAUCAGUAGUGAUGUAGUAGAGGAAUCAGUUUUGGACAAGAGCUUUCUGGGUAGCCUUCAAGUCUUUGCCAUCUGUCUACUGUGUUCUCAGGGAAAUGUUGUUGAGAGCAGUCACUGUACAGUACCCUUUCACUCCUACUUCUUCUUGAUUGGUUAGGUAAGACAGCUUCCUGAUUGGUUAGGAAAGACAGCUUCCUGAUUGGUUAGGAAAGACAGCUUCCUGAUUGGUUGGGAAAGACAGCUUCCUGAUUGGUUGGGAAAGAAAGCUUCCUGAUUGGUUAGGAAGGACAGCUAUGAGAAAGGAGCUGGCCCAUGAGGCAGCCACAUUUGCAGGUCUACCACUCUUAGCUAGGAAGCCUUGCUCAGGGAGUUACCAUCGCCUGAAACAUGUCUUUCUUUACGAAAGUAGGCAUAAUGAUAUCUACCCUGUCUGCCUCACAACAUUCUCUUAGGGAACAAGCAAAAGGAUCGGUGCGAAUGUGUUUUAUGUGGAAAAAAAAUGUUACAGAUAGGGGGAGUAGUUCUUGCCCAAACCCCUCAGUCCCACAGAUCUUCAGUCUGCAGUGAGCUCAUGGACUAUAUUCGCCCUAUAAAACCAACGCGGUUUUUCUUGGGCACCCAAAACCCAAAUUGCAGAACCCCAUAUACCCUUGCGUCUGCAGAUUGGAGCAUGACAGCCAGCUUGGAAUUGCGUUAGCAGAGCAGGUACUGUGAACAAGCCUGGGGCUGUGGAAUUUUUUAAAAGGGACCCAACACCAACAUCUCUGAAAUAAAUUGAUUUGGUUGAAACUUUUCCAAAGAAAUUACCUUAAUUCUGAGACUAAAUAUGUGGCGUUCCAGCCCAAAUGGACUUUCUUGGCCAACCCUCUAAGAAAUAAACAUCGUACUUUAACACGGAAAGGGAGGUAGAACUUGUAGUUUCAGCUCACUGAUGUCACUCUUUGCUUUUUGAGCCAAAGAACAAGAAAAUCCAACACUUCCUCCAAGGAUGAAGGCAUGGGAUGGGAACGUUACAAAUAUGUUUGUGGUUUCUAUAUAUUUUCUCUUAAAGGGAAAAAAAAUACCCCAGGAAUUGAAGAGAAUCCAUUUUUCAGAAUCUUGACAGACACAUGUGCUCUUCUUCUUGGAGAGCAUCCCACCUGGGAUUCUUGGCUGUCUCCUCACAAAAAGCUGUCUUUUUUUUUCUUAUCCCUGAUUUAAAAAUAAGAGGAUUACAGAGGGUCUAAGCCAUGGAAUAACUUGUGCUAAAGCAGAUUUCAAAAGUCGGGCCCUGGAUAAGAUCUUGGAAUCUGGGUACAUUUGAGAGUUGUGAUGAAAGGAGAAUUGCAUUUUAUUGAUGCAGAAGUGGGAAAACCAAAAUCUAGAGCAUGCUAACAUGCCCCGGAGCAACAGGCUUCCAUGAACGCGGUUCUGUUAGAACGCAGCUCCUUUUGGCACCGGUGCCUUCUUUAUUGUAUUUGCGAAUAAAGUCCUCCUUGAUAACAAAGAUAUAUUCCUCGGAACAUGCUGUAGUCCUGAGGUCUCGUACUGCUUGGCAGUGAGCGUGCUCAUAAUUAAAUGAUUGGGGAGGAACACCUCGUGUCAUUCAGUGAAGUGGCUUACUGACAACUUCAAAUGGCAUCAAAUGGAGUCAAGUAUUCCAAGGCCUUCUCCUGGGAAAGCAAAUAAAAGGGUUGGUUUUCAAAUGUGCUGGUAGAUUGCUAUUUUGAUCUAUCUCUUGGAAAUUUCUGCUAUGCAUGCAAAAUACUUGGGUAGAUUCAAUUUGAGUCCAUCAACCUGAGCGAGAUGUUUAAUCGCUGCCAGAGGUUCUUCACAUCCACAGGGAAGACUGGAGCUUCCUCUCAGUAUGCACAGCCUCCCAUCCCCUUACACUUAGUGAGUAUUGAAUUAGCAUGGACCAGUUGAGUGAAGAUGGUUACAUUAUAUGGUGGUGGUGGAGAGGGUAUGGUAUGGAUGCGGAGGAGGGACAAUCAAUCUUCCUGGAGUGCAGAGAGGAACAAGGUCAAAGAAAGCUAAAGAAAGUUUCAAAGCUGAUAUUUGAUCUGAAUCUUAAAGCAAACCACAUUGUGCUGAAAAAAAAAGAGAGAGAGAGAGAUCAUCCAUUUUUCUACUUCACUUUCUGGUUGUGUAGUUCUAGUAUAGCAAAGGGAGAUACUAGUCUGAACUUAAAGUGCUCAUGUUUCCUUGAGUUAACAGGUGACCCUUGAGGACAGUAAGAUUCUGGGGUACUUCCUUUUGUGUCAUAGGAACUGCUGUCUCUGCCUCUGGGCUGACAUUCAAGCUCUGCCCUCUGGCUGGUGCUCCACCCUCAGGAGCUGCCUCACCUGAUUUCCUACACUGCCCUCUCUUGGGACAAGCUGUUGUCCUUGGCCUCCCUCCACCCCCAGGGUAUGCAAUUACUCAGAAACUCCCAGCUGUUCCCCAGCCCCACACUGAGUUCCCAAACAAAACCUGUGAAAACAGCUGUGGUGGCAGCUCUGGCCACUGCUGGCAACAGCAGGGCGCGCAGUGCACCGGCAGGCAGGCUCUUGAGGCCCAGCUGCUCCAGAUGUGAGUGGAGCCGGGACAGACACUGUCUUUGGGGUGUAUCCAGGAAAGAUCUCCCUGGAAACUCUGAGGUCCCAUGUUGUUCUUUUUGACUCCAUCCAAACCAAACGGAGCCAAAUAUCUUCUGUCCCUUUCUAAAGGGAUUUAGCUUCAUGCCUUUGCAAUCCUGGGGCAGGAGAAAGGCUCUUCAGGUAUAAGAAGUCUCACAUAGGUGUGGUCAGUAUACCCAUCAUACUUUUGUAUGGGAAGCAUGGUGUCAUCGUGAGACCUUCCUGUCUUCCUAGCCUCUUACCCCUGGUCCAAUCAUCUUUGCAUUUGAGCUCGACUGUGAUCUCUGUCUGCAAGCCUAUCACCCCUGUGCUUCCCUGCUUCUGUACCUCUUGCCCUUUCUCCCUUUCUUUGUUGUUCCCACCCUCAGAAGCAUCCUAUUCCUGGUGUGUCUUUCUAAGGUGAAUAUGCCUGGUAAUGAAAUUCCCUUACUCAAAAUGUGAGUCCAGCUUGCUUCCCUUAGAAUGCCCUGAUAUCUUCUCCUUGCCUUAAGACCAUCUCCUCGGGACCUGGGGCUAAGGCUACUGGGGCAACUUAAGCUCUUGCCUCUGUACUCCAAAUGCAGAGGUGUGCCUUGAGAGGGGCUACCCCACUGUGACCUAUUCCCCACCUCACCUGGAUCCUGGGUUUUUGAGGUAGGUAGUUGUUAGCAGAGCCAGCCUCUAAGGGGGGUUUCUCUAUCACCCCUUACUUUCUUUGGUUUCCUUCUUGGUAGAGGAGUUGCUGAUGGCAUGACUGUGGCCUCCACACAUGACACUUAGACUAAAGCAUUUUGCGAUAAAAAUAAUUUUGUUGUUUGGCUUUGUGGUUGGAGAAGUAUUUUGUCAUUAAUUUUCUUAAACCAUUGGAAAUUGGGACUUUUCUGCUUUUUUUAAACUUAAUUUAAGUUUUUAAUAUUUUUAAAAGUUUCAUAUGUGAGUACUAUAUUUACAUCAUUCCUGCCCUCACUUUCUCCUUCCAACUCCUCCUAUGUCCCCCCUUAAAUCUAUGACCUUUUCUAUAAUUUUCAUUGUUAUACAUACACAUAUGUAACAACACACACAUAAAUAACACUAAUGCACACACAUAUACGUAACAAUGACACACAUGUAUAUGGAACAACAAUGCAUACAUAUGUGCAACAAUAACACACUUAUACACAUAUAUGUAACAAUAACAUACACAUACCCCUUUAUAAAACCCACCAAGUCUUUUUCGUAUUGGUCAUAUGUACAUGUGUUUAGCGUUGACCACUUGGAAUUGAAUAAUCUGUCAGGGAGCUUUGCCCUGGAGAGGGUUCUUCAUCUAGGUGGAGAACCUUGUUAAAUUUCUCCCACCCAUGUCUUCAUGCCAGCUGGUAUUGUCACCAUACAGAUCCUGUGUAGCUAACCAUCUUGUUGAGAUUAUGUGUAGAGCUUCCCUGUCAUGUCUAGGAGACACUGUAUGCUACCUGGCUCUCUCGGGCUAUAAUCACUUUACCAUCUUUAUGUUUCACGACUGUCACUGAUGGCUGCCAUGUCUAGACCACACUUACUGUUUUCUAUACAUGCUGCUUCCCCACCUGGUUGCAUUCUGCCCUCGCUGCUUCCUCUGCUCCCAGCCGACAUAACUCUGCUUAUUGUUCCAGAUGCGUGGGGAGCACUUCCUGCCCACCCUACUUCUUGUGACAGCUUCAGGGCAAGGUGAGACCCUCUCUUUUGUCUCUUCUUCACUCUCUCUGCUCCUGUGUUCCCUGCUCCCCCAACCCACAGUGUGAUUUUCCUAGUGGUUUUUGAAUCUUCUUCCUGGUGCCAACUGUAAGUUAUUAGGCAGAAAAGACUAUGCUUUUUAAAUCUUUGUUAUCUCAUAACACCAUAGGUCCUCCCCACUCAGCAUCUUGCACUUAAAAUCACUUCGGUUGUAUAGAAGUGAAAAUUAAAAUAAUAAGUGAGAGUGGACACCUUGAUGAGGUGCCAGUGUAUGAAGAAUUGAGGAUGACCCCUGCUGCGGGCCCUACCAUCUCUGCCAGCUCCUCCUUCUGUUCAUGUACAGCAUGAUAAUAAAGCAUGAAGUCCAGUCUUGGGAACUAGACUAACAAGGUUUGAACCCAGGUUCUGCCACUUGCUGCUGGCUGUGUGAUUAUGGUUAUGGCCCUCCACUUUUGUGCCCCAGUUUCCUCCUUGAGAAAUAGAUAAUAUCCCACAUAAUUUGGGAUGUGUGAAGAGUACAUAAGAUCAUAUUUGUAAAGGUCAAGGGUCACUUUAAACAAGAACAGUCUUCAGUCCUAUGGCUCACUUUCCUGUAUCUGAUCUUUCUGUACAACUGCUCUUAGCCUUUGUGUACUGAGCUAUCAGCCUAGAAUCUGGAGAGUAGAUUAUUCCUAAUGCGUGCCUCCAACUGUGAGCAAAAGGCAGCUUGGCUCUUUGUGUGAGGUAAUGAUGAGGCAGGUACGUCCAUGAUCAAGGAGUUGUGUGUACUGAUAAGCCAGGGUAGGAAUGUGCAGGGCCAUGACAGGCUUGUUACAGUUUCAAAGACCUGAGAUUCUACUAGGAUUAUAGCUUAGAGGAAUGAAUUACUUAUGGAACAUAAACCAUGAAUUACAUACAAAGAAUAGCAAUUUCUUAAGGGAUUUCUAGUAUUAUAAGUCAGUGUUCAGAAUUGUUUUGUGACCUUUUCUCGGGAGCUGUGAGCAAAUGUCUCUUCACUGUAGAGAGGGUACCAGUGACAGAUCAAAGAAAUGUUUCCAUUCAAGUGUAGUUUAAUGAACAAGUAAGAGUGUUUAUUUGGGUUGCUUAUAAGAAAAUGGAUGAGGGGCUACUUACUGAGUAUUGGUGCCUCAGAGUUAUGAAAAGUCCACCCCAGCAUUGAUGACUACUCAUGAAAGCUGCAUUCUGGGAGUUCCCGACACAGACUGUAAGCAACUUGACCACCCAGAGCCUUUUCUCAUCAGCAACUGUUACUUCUAGAGUGGCACUGGUGCCCUGUUUUAUGGAAUUUCAACAGCUUCCUGAGACUUAUCAGUUUCGUUUGCUUCCUGAGCUCUGUGAAUUUACUCUACUUUCUGAAUGCUAACUAGCUUCGAUCUCCCUUGGGGUGUAGCUAUUCCCAUUUGGAGGAAAUUGUAACACCACAGGAAGUCAGAAGAAUGCUGUAGCUUUAGGGCUAGACAAUCAUAGAGAUUAUAUACUGUAUGAAGAUAGGAGGGAGAUAGGGUGAGGAAAAUUACAGGGAGUUGAAGAGAGGAAGUGGUGGAUAGAUAUGGUCAAAGUAUGUUGUACAAAUAUAUGAAAAUUUCAAACAAUAAAUAAAAUAUUAUUUUUUUCUCAUUUAUUUUAGUUAUUUGAGAUCAUACAAAUGCAUUUUGAUCAUAUUCACCUACUUCCCCCAUCUCCUCCAAGAUACUCCCUACCCACCCAACUUUGUGUAAUUGUUUUAAUCUAUUAAGUCCAAUUUAGUUUCUCACAUAUUCUUGGAUAUGUACCCUUCUAUUUGAGUAUGGUCUACCUACUAAGGGCCAUAACCUUAAACAAAAUUCCUUUUCCCAGAAACUAGCAAUUGCCAAUAGUUCUUCAGCAAGGGUGAGUCUUCAUGAUCAUAACCCUUCUCUGUACUGGAACUUCACCUAGCUUGGCCUUACACAGGUCUUACCUAUGCUGUCACAAUACCGUGUGUUUGUACUCUCAAGCUGUGCCAGGUAAACACAGUUUCUUUGUAGUCAUCCACCAAUUUUCUCAUACACUCUUUCUGCCCCACUUCUGAAAUGAUUCCAGAGUCUUGGGGGGAGGAAAUAUGAUGUAGAUGGACAUUUAGAGCUGAGCAUUCGGCGAUUCUUUAUUCUUUACUCCUUAAACAGUUGUAUAGUGGGUUUCUCUGUUUUAAUUGCUUUCUACUGGGAAAGGAAGGUUCUCUGAUGAGGGUAGAAAGAUGUACUAAUCUAUGGGUAUAACAGUAAGUCACCAGGAGUUGGUUUAAUACUAUGUUCCAUUAGAAGAAUAAUAUUAACAGGUUCCUCUAGGGCCUAUUACAUGUUUAGUCACAGGUCCUUGAUUCUAUAAUGGUAUUAUCUGUGUCUUUUAUUUUGUGGAAUGAGCCUUAAAUCCAAUCAGAAAAUGAUCAUUUACUUCCAUGAUGCUUGUGCCAUGAUUGUAUGAGCAGACAUGUUUUUUCCAGGUUGGUCAUUAUUGUAGCUCUCCAGGUUCAUAGCCAGGUAAGCUUGGCACUACUUUUCUUCUUUAGUAGUAUGCACAGCUCUUUCCAACACUAUGAAAACUAGCCAAUAAGGAUACCAACUUGACUUCUCCAUGCUCAAUGUGGUACCUUCAUAAAUACAGUCUUACCAUACAUUUCUUGAGUGCUCCCAGGAGGGAGGCUGACAGUUGUAGUUAGAAGACUCUGGGUAGGUUGCCCUCCUCUUAGAACCUCUGAUCCCUCAUCUACAAUGUGAGAAGUGAUGGUGUCAUCUUGACAGCCAAUGUAGCCAUUAAAAAGGAAGUGAACACAUAAUGUGCCUGGCAUAGUUCAGUUCCUUUAGUAAGCUAGAUCAUCCCAAGGGAGCCUUUUCAUUCUCCCGUCACUUGCUUCUUGCUCAGAAUCAUUUUAGACCUCUCCCCCUGCUGAAUCCUUUUCAUUUAUUUACUUAUUUAUUUUCACAGGAAUGGGUAUCAAAUGCAGGUCCUCAUGCAUGUUAGUCAAAGCUCUAUUACCGAGCUACACCCCAGCACUUUGGCAUGAGCUUUGACUCAGUGCUACUUGAACUGUGGUUUGUGGUCUGCACUCCUUCCACAGGGCAGGUGUAGAAAUGAAGUAAGUGUUCCUAUGACUCUGCCCCAGAUGCAUAAUAAGCAUGUGGUGAGUACAGGGCUUCUGUGGCCUGUUAUAAGCAGUGGGGAGGGAAGAAGAUGGCCAAAUAUUUUCCAAAAUACCCAAAAUCAGUGACAAGAUUGUGUCGGUAGGUUUGCUAUACAAUUUAUUUGACUCAUGUGGCUAUUUGAAUAUACCCGUACAAACUUGAAAAUGCCUUUACAAACUUCUUCCAAGAAGCAGCUGUAUCCUACAUUUUGGGGGAGUAUUUUCCCUAUGUGUUUGCUCUCUUACUUUCCACAAUGAAUUUGUAUGAUAGUUUAUUUUUUAGUGUGUAUGUCUGUCUAUGUACAUUUGUAUAUUCCAUCUGCAUUUUCCUUCUUACCUAUGUAUCUUCUAAGUAGAUGCUUUCUAAGUAGAUGCUUGAAACUGUCAAUGAAACCAAGUCCUCUAGGGAUGAUGUUUGUUUUAUAUAUAGACACUAAUGGUAAACUUUAAUUUAUAAAUUAUGUAAAGUAAGAGAUUAACUGUAAUAACUGAUUAUAAGAAAGAAUACUUGUAAAUGAAAGCUACAAAGGCACAUGAGGUGUUUAUUCUAGACUUUUCCAUUAAUAUAUCCUAUCUGUAGUUGAUCAUGUAUAACUGAAACCCUGAACAGUAAAGAUGGGUGUGUGCAUUGGGACUACUACAUAAACACACACAUUACCCAUGCAUUUAUGUGUUAUAUAGAAUUUGCAAAGAGAAUGCCAAUUUUCUGUGUGUCUAUGCCCUGCUUUUUGAUCCUGUUUAUUGUAUACAAACUUCUCAAAGGCAUGAGGCUCAGUUGCUAUGUUGUGACUUAGGUCAGGCUUUCCAACUCGCCCAGAGAUGUUACCCUCAUUACAACCUGAUUCCUUGUGUUCUUCCUUGGAGAUAGUGAGUUGCUAACCAUGGUGAAAGGCAACAUAGAGAUCUACCAAGAUAUUGCCAUUACUAUGAGUCAGAAGAGCAGGUUUUUUUGUUUCAUUUUUAUAAUGUCCUCUGUUUAAAUGGUAAAAUAUACAUUAAGGAAGAAAAGUAAUCUUAACUAUUUUCUGAGGUUUCCAGAGCACAUCUCCGCUUCUAUCUCUCUACUUUUAUCCCAAGACAGAAAAUAAAAUCUUAAAAUUCAAAUAAAAAUGUGAUCAGGUGGGAGUGGUCUCUGAGAAACAAGGGCCAAGCAAGAGAAGACACUUUUGGAUUUUUUAAUUGACAUUGAUUCUAUCUGCUCACUAUGUCUAUGGGUUCUGAAAAAAUCCCUUCAAAUUCAGUUAUUUAAACAAUCUAAUAUAUUUUGACAAUAUGAAUUAUGUAUUUAUUAAAAGAUCUGCAGCCUAAAAAGUAGAUAUGUGAGGGACUUAAUUAAUCAUAGAAAUGGUGGACAAGAUGGGCUCCAUACAUUGGUGGUCUGUGUGUCAAUACAACGCUAAGCUUCACAACUUACACUUAGGACAAAUAAAGGAACUAUGGUGCCUAGGGGUUAAGUUAUGACAGACCAAAGGCUCGACCACUCACUAAACAGUAAAUCAGCCAUUCGAACCUAAGCCAUUUUGGUUUCAAAGUCUAUAUUCCCAUGAUUCCAGUUUACCUCAUUGUCUACCUAGUAUGCAGACAGGCAAUUUACACAAUGUUCACAUGCGAUAUACUUGUUGAUUAAAUAGUGGAAGAGUUCAUUUAGGGUUAGGUUCUAUUUGUUCUUUUAUUAUUUACAGUUUUUAAUAAUUUUUUAUCUUUUUCAUAUAGUCUAUUUUGACCGUAUUUUUUCCCCUGCCCCAAGUCUUCCCAGUUCUUUCUGAUUUGUUCUUAAUCCAGUGUCAGAAGACCAAGCAUUCACAACAGAAUAUAAGGGAUUGAGAGAACUGGUCCAGGAAAAAAAUGAAAAAGAAUGAAUUCAAGGCGGGACAAGCAAAACAAAGAUGUAGAGGAAGAGUGAAUGAAAUGACUGGGGCUGUUAAACACAGAGAGGAAAAGAUUGAAAGCUGCCCUGUAAAUGGCCCUUCAGGUUUAUGAAGCAAGGAGAGAGUAGCAGGAGGAGGAUACGUAGUUAGAGGACCAAGGGGCAGUUUGAGUAAUCACUGUAGUGGGCAGGAGCUCACCACACUAAUGGCUGUGCGUCUUAUGGAAUGGCUGACUAUGGGGUUUUGGAUGGUUACCAAUGCUGACUGCUGAGAAAUGCAGGGAAGGGAAGCACUGUGAGACUCAGUUUGCGAUGCCUCGUGCUUUUGCCUGCCCUGUACAUAUAUCAUCCAGUGUCUUACCAGUCUGUUCUUCCCAGCAACAGUCUUGUCCAUCACAACAACUGGAAAUACCAUUAUCUGAACAGAACUGCGUUUCUGCAGAGUCCCCAAGUCUCAGUGGAUAAUCUGACAUCAUAGAACAUGAUGGAUCAUCUCAGACCAUAUGCCCUGAAAGACAUACAUACCAUAGGUAAGCCAAAGAUUAUGUCACAUGGGCUCUGGUCUCUCCAUUGAAACCACUGUCCGCCAAUAGUUUGGGCUCCAAAUGAAAGCACAGAGGCAGGAGAAAGCCAGCACUUGAUGCUCUAUACUGGGAGCAUGGGGUUACCUCACUUGUCAGCAAUGGCCAGGCCUGAGUUGGCAGGCAGACCCCCCUCUCUGUAUGCUGUUCUUACUCAGCCCUUCCUGUUUAGUUUUAUGCACCAACCCCCAUUUCUUUUGCAAUCAAGCAGAUAUUGAAUUUCUUCAUUUUAAGUAGCGUGACCAGUUAAAGGAGGCUCAUCUUUUUAAUUAAAAGUCUUACACAGACAAGAUACAAAAAAGUUCAGCUAGACAGUAUCUACCUGGGGAACAGCACAAACCACUGGAAUAUAAAAAGGCUUCAAAUUUAACAGAAUCAUUACCGAAACCCACCACUGUCCUUGAUGAUCAGGGUAUACUACACAUUAGAGUCAUUUUCUAUUCUCAGAAAUAAAGAUGAUUAUGUCAUACAGGAGGUUGCAAAUUGACUUUCAAAGGCUGUGACUGCAUAGCGUUUCUGAUGAGUUUUUUUCAAAAGCUAUCUAUUGGAGGACAUAUAAGCAACUGACUAGUCCGGACAAAUGGUUUUGGCUCAGGGAUUGUGCCUGCUGAUAUGAAGUCACCUUUCAAAACAUCCUGUAAGAAUUAUGGAGCCUCUGAUUGGAACACUUUUUUCUCCUUCCACAUUUUCCAAAGGGUAAUGAACUCAGAUCACUGGCUCAAAGACCACCUUGACUCAGUCUCUUACCAUGGCAUUUGUGAAACCCAACAUUUGUUUCAAAGGGCAUCCCAGAACCACGCAAAUCCCUUUGAGAAGUUAGGAUGCCAACAGGGCACAAGGCUCCCCACUAUCUGCAGUGGAGAAGGACUCCAGGGGCAGUGUGUCUGGAGCUGGAAGCCAGCUGUGACUCCAACUUUCCCCUCUGGACUAUGCACACCACCCUCCAAAGGAACCCAAAACUUCCUAAGGCAGACAUGCAGGUGAUCCUAGGGCUGCUACAGGGCAAUGGUUGCCAUGGACACAUAUUUCAACAUUCAAGGACGCCCAGGUAAAUGGUGAUAUGGUAAUAGUUUCCAGAGAGGUAGAGAGAGCUGCUGGCUCAAUGAUUGUCCCCAUCAGGUUGGUGGAUAAUGAACAGUCCCUUUCUUUCACUUAAAUAGCUUCCUCCUGUUGGUUGACUCCCCGCUCCCUUUUCUAGAAGUGUUUUACCUUUUGUAUUAUAUAAAGCUAAAGUUUACUGGUUUUGUUAGAGAAGAGGUUUGUUGCUCCUAAUUUACUGUUUGUGCAUUUGCUUCGGGACGAUUUUAUUGUACAAAUCUAUCAUUAUAAACUGAACGUUAAAACUCCAAAGACUUAAGUGGAAUUUUAAAUAUUUCCUAUAAUUAUUUCACAAUAGCAUAUGGAUUAACAAAUAGCCCAGAGUAGAGGACGCUAGCAGAGAUGUUUACAGGGGGGGAAUAGUACAAGUGAAAUAUGGCUUGGCCAGGUUUAAUACACAUAGAAUAUACUUUAAUACUUUCAUAUGGUCUGAAUAAUAUCCCCAUAUUGAUUUUUUCCUUGUUUCUACCAACUCCACAGCAAAUGUACGACAAUGGCUCCUUGAUUUAUUGCGAGUGUAGCAAUGGGUUUAUAACGGCAUGAAUCAUGCCGAUUGCUCAAUUCACCACAUGCCUUAAUAAAAGUUUCACUUUAAUAAAACUGAGCUAAGGCAAAUAUGCCCAGAGGCUGGUCUGACAUUCCUUAUACAUUACCCUGCCUCAGGAAAUUAUUGCUAUAUAUUUUACAGCAGCUACAGUAGGCUAGGGGAUCAGGAUUAAAAUGUACUAACUACCGUGAUAUUUAACAGAACUCCUGUGUUCCCAGUUAACCCUCACAGGUACAAAAUGGACACCUAUUAAGAGACAGCACGGGGUAAAGCCAAGCUGAAUUGGAAGCCAGGCAGUUGGGGAUCAGAGUUGACCCUUGUCACUCCACAUAACAUCCUUUAAGCUCUCUCGAUUCUCUCCCAGUGAUAGUGUCAACAUCAUAGGAGAGAAAAAGAAGUAUCAGAUGCCGGGCAAGCAUCAGAUGGUGGCAUUCGCAGAGACAGGGCUGAGAGGAACAAAGCGGCUCUUUAGCAAGAUUAAGAAUCGUGUUUGUUAGCAAUAACAGGCUUGCAUGAAGAACAGGUAUGAUUCCCUUUAGAGAAGUCUAGGGAUUUAGUCAUGAAAGCUUAAUCCUAGAAACCCCCAACUGCCUUUCAUUGGAACUAGUAAGAGUUGGAAAGGCACCAUGUCAGUGUAAUUUUGAGAAACAAAACAAAGCAAAAACAUCACCCAGGGUAUGAGAAGGUAGGCCAUGAGCAGGGAGUCCAUUCCUGUGACAUAUUACCUGUUGGCUACUGCUCUGGAAGAAAUUAUGAUUAAAUGAUACUGUUCAGCGGGGACUGGUGCAGUGUUUAUUAGUCCCUAAGACCAAACAAGCCUCUGUGAAUUUUCUAACCAAUGGGAACAACUUAAGCAUUACUGCAAGAGUGUUGCCUACUCUUAGAAGGUGGCUUGAUCCUGUGGUAAGUCGGGUACCUAUGUGACCAGAGACGAGCUGCAAAAUCUCUCCGGACCUCUGCUUAGUCUGUGAAAUUUAUUGAAGUGGAAAAUGUAAGAUGCCUGGGCCUAUAAUAGACAUUUUGAAAUGAGUUGUCUACUUUAAAAAAUUCUCUAGCAUCUUCACGAGUGGACUGCCUCCACCCUCCCCCUUCCCAUCUCUCCUAGUCCUGCUGCAGCUUUCGGGCUCUCAUUUUCCUUAGAAAACGGCCCAAUAGGAAAGGACUUAAUCUGCUCAGCAUCCAUGCUGGUUUCAUGGGCUUCCUCUCUGCUCCUGCACUAUCUUUGUCAUAAUUCAACUCUCACUGAAACAUCUUCUCCACAACUCAGAAUAUAUUUUCCCAUCUCCAGCUAGAUCCUUGACAGAGUUUUGUUUUCCCCAGUUCUGAUCCCUUUGUGUUAAACAUGGGUGUCCAAUACCUAGAAACGAUAGUUAAUACUGAGCAAAUGACUGCAUGGGGAAAUGGUCACUAAAUAAAUGAAUCCGUGAUGUGGGAGCCAGGUUAAAUCUCCAAGACUACUUCCACAAAGGCGAACUUGAACACGCUUUAUAAACAAGGAAAAACUAGGGAGAUACUCAUGAGCCAAAGCUUAACCAACUUAAAUCUAUUGCUUCCAUGACUGACAGCUAUGGGCCAUUUAUGUUGUACUGGACACUAUGCUCAUCUUCAACCUGCCCCAUGUUCACAGCUCAGCGACAUAAACACCAUUGUUCUCCACAUAUUCCCACGUAAUACCUUGAUCUCAGAGAUGAAAUAACCUUCCCAAAUCUAUGUCUAACCAUGGCUGUGCUAGCGUUUGAACCCAAGUUCUUCUGAUUCUAGAAUCUGUUUUCUAGUUUUCUGCCAAGCCCUGAUGAGUACUCAGACUGCUGACAUCCACAAAGCAGAAACACUUCCACCAAACUUACCGUGGACAGUCCAGUUGAGUCUGACUUCCCCUGGUCCAUGCUCUGAGGUUUGCUGCAUUUUUCUCCUAUUUGCCCAACAGGAGCAGUUGUAAUAAAACCCACCAUCCUCAAGCAGGAAUGGAGCUGUCAAGAGAAAUGAAAUAUCCAGGGGCAGCUUCAGUUUUACCAUUCAUUAAUGGGUUUAUCCUAACAUUGUCUAACGAUGACAUUUACAAAAAUCCCAAACUUGAAAAUAAAUAAGUUGGCUGACAUACAGACGUUUUACAUAUGAGUUUAAUAAAAUAGAUUUUUUUCCUGUUUGAAAUCUUUGGUAAUCUCUGAAAUAUAUCAACUGCAACCCAGGAACAUUGUAUCCCAAGUCGUGAUUCAUGAAAUGAAACGGAAAUGUAUUAUGUAAUUCAAUUGGGAGAGUCCAGCCCAGAGCUCAUUAAGGCCGUUGCUGGUGAUGUGGACUUCACUCGCAGGCUCUGUGGUUUGGGCAUGCUUUUCUCAGUCCUUACCUCCCCCUCCUCUGAGGACAUUUAAACAGAAUAUCGUCACCCUUUUCAAAACAGCAUUCUUGAGAAUUUGCCCACAGACGAGGAUAAUUCAUGGGUAAUGUUAAGAGAAACGGUAAAAUGCAGCUAUCAACCUUCAUCAAAGAAGCUUCUCUUUACAGUAAAUGGAGAUCAUCACAGAAAACUGCAACUGGACAUAGGGCAGAGUUUAUCAGAUGGUGGAGCACAGCUCCAAAGUGUACACCCAUGUAACAGCUCCUGCAUCUGCAGCUCAGGGGACGUCGUGGGAAAGAGGGCAGAGCGAUCAUUAACAGACGAAUACCUGGGAAGUCUGCUGUGAAAAUCUCUCCUAAAAUGGCGGCAUAAACAAGACAAGAAGAAUAGCAAUAUAAUUGACAUGUUAAUGUGGCAAGGGGAAAUUGUCGUGGGGUCCCACUCCUGACCAAAAAUCUACUGACAAUUCAUGACUGACUGCUGGGAAAAAGAGAGGUAACCUCUUUCAGGGCUGAGCCCCCUUAUUGGCUCUGCAGUGCAGAGUGGUUAGCCUUGAAACCACACACACACACACACACACGCACACACGCACACACGCACGCAUGCACGCACGCACGCACGCACGCACGAAAACGAGGCUGUCAAUUGGAGAGCAUUGUGGGCAUGGGAAGGGUUCAAGGUAGGGGAGCUGGGAGGCACCUGAAAAAAAGAAAUGGAGGGAGGCAGUGAUGUAAUUUAUUUCAGGUGAAAACAUUAAAAAUAAAAUUAUAAUUUUAUUAUAAUUUAAACAGUUAAAUUAAAUUUAAACUUUUAAUUUUAAAAGGAAAUGCAAAAAAUGUAAACCACACCAUGCCUAUUGUCUGCUUAUUAACUUUACCUCUCUCUUGACGAGAAGGGGAAGAAGGAGGAGAGGAAGGGGUGAUCUUUCAGAUUAUGUUAUGGCUUGCUGCCAAUUUCUCCAGCUCACCUCCAUGCUUUUCCAUUUUUGGCCUCCACAAUUCUACAUUCUGUUCUACUGCAAUGCACUUUCCUACAAAUGUUAUCAUGGUUUCUUUAUUUUUAAUCUUCCAUGAUUCUACUCACAUACCAUAUGCUCAGACUAAUCUUCCUGGUUACUCCAUGCCUAGCCUGCUAACCACCCGAGUCUUUCUUAUUUUACCUCCUUCAUGCUGUUUAUCUUAAUAAAAUGGUGUGCAACUUCACC